AAUGAACGCUGGCGGCAUGCCUUACACAUGCAAGUCGAACGGCAGCAUGACCGCUCGUGCCUGGUUGAUAGCGAGUGACGGACGAGUGAUAAAUGCAACCGAACGUGCCUGUUAGUGGGAGAUAAGGUAGCGAAAGUUACACUAAUCCCGCGAAUUCCCGGAGAAGGAGAGGAGGCGUCCUUCCGGCCUUUCUCUGGAUGGCCGAUCGCUGUCGGAUUAGCUAGUUGGUGAGGUAAAGGCCCACCAAGGCAACGAUCCGUAGCGGGUCUGAGAGGAUGAUCCGCCACACUGGGACUGAGACACGGCCCAGACUCCUACGGGAGGCAGCAGUGGGGAAUUUUGGACAAUGGGCGAAAGCCUGAUCCAGCCAUGCCGCGUGAGUGAAGAAGGCCUUCGGGUUGUAAAGCUCUUUCGGCUGGGAAGAAAUCGCACCCUCUAAUACAGGGUGUGGAUGACGGUACCAGAAGAAGAAGCACCGGCUAACUACGUG
rnacentral:rRNA from 1 species